ensembl:lncRNA
GCCGGCAUCAAUGUGGGCGGAGUCAAACCCGUUUAACCCGAACCCCUCCUUUCGGGUGACCUAAAUAGUUUGGUUCACGUCGACGGUAUCAACGUCAACGAAAGCGAUUCUUAAUUGAAUUUACAUGGAUAAACACAUUGGACAUUAGGUAUACUGAGGCCACAAGCUAGGGAGAUUUUCUUUCUAGAUCCCCUCCAUGGCACUGGCUGGAGAGAAAAGUCGCACCCAACCAUUCAGGUUUUUCGGGCACCCGGUUUCAUCCCAUCUGGAUAGUGAAACAUUGCUCGAAUCUUGUCCCCUGGACCUUGGAGGACUUUUGGUGUGGGUAAUGUUCAGGGCCUACCAAUGCAAAGUUUCUCAAACAAAUGUGGGGUGUUUGUUUUGAUGCACACUAUUGUGGUGCCUAGUUCUCCUGCAGAACUUUCCAUGUCGUCUGAAGAAGUGAGGUUGAAAGAUCGAAAAAGGAGGCGAAAACAAAACACAGGAUGAUGUAUAUGAUUCUCCCCCAAGAAGUCACAGCAUGUCACAUCAGCCUCCAGCUCUGAAGGAUCAGACAAUACUGAAAACAAAAUGCACGGCGAACUGGGAGCUGUGAACUGUGAAGCAGCAAGGUGGUGCGAACGCCAAACAUUUAAAGGCACCAUUUCCCUCCCUAGUGUAAUUGGGAUGGAGGGGGAAGACCGUAUUACAACCCUUAAAGAACUACGGUUGUAUGAUGGCCUGGAUGAGGAGGAAAAUAUUCUCAUCAAGAAACCAUUCAUGUUCUCAUUCCAGUUACAGAGAUUAGAUGUUCUAUGUGGAGGCAGUUGACAACAAGAAAAUGACUGCCUUUGCCUCUUUUGAGGAGCAGGAGUGAAGCAAUUUUUGAGGAGUGGUCAAACUUUGUUUUUGUCUGCUGUGUUAAUUGUUUCAUUUGUUAAUUGUGUUAUGUUGUUUAGUAAAGAUGACUUAGAAAUCA